rnacentral:rRNA from 1 species
UACGAAGGGGGCUAGCGUUGCUCGGAAUCACUGGGCGUAAAGGGUGCGUAGGCGGGUCUUUAAGUUAGGGGUGAAAUCCUGGAGCUCAACUCCAGAACUGCCUUUGAUACUGAAGAUCUUGAGUUCGGGAGAGGUGAGUGGAACUGCGAGUGUAGAGGUGAAAUUCGUAGAUAUUCGCAAGAACACCAGUGGCGAAGGCGGCUCACUGGCCCGAUACUGACGCUGAGGCACGAAAGCGUGGGGAGCAAACAGG